AGUGAACGCUGGCGGUAGGCCUAACACAUGCAAGUCGAACGGCAGCACAGUAAGAGCUUGCUCUUACGGGUGGCGAGUGGCGGACGGGUGAGGAAUACAUCGGAAUCUACUUUUUCGUGGGGGAUAACGUAGGGAAACUUACGCUAAUACCGCAUACGACCUACGGGUGAAAGCAGGGGAUCUUCGGACCUUGCGCGAUUGAAUGAGCCGAUGUCGGAUUAGCUAGUUGGCGGGGUAAAGGCCCACCAAGGCGACGAUCCGUAGCUGGUCUGAGAGGAUGAUUCGGCCAACUUGGAAUUGGACAACGUCCCGACUCCUAAGGGGAGGAGCAGGGGGGAAUAGUUGAAAAUGGGGCGAAACCUGAAUCCAGCAAUACCGGGGGGUUAAAGAAGGCUUCCGGGUGGUAAAGCCUUUUUGUUGGGAAAAAAAGCAGGAAGGUUAAUACCCCGUGGUUCGGAGGGAACCAAAAGAUAAAGCACCGGCAACCUUCUG
rnacentral:rRNA from 1 species